CAAUAGCGUAUAUUAAAGUUGUUGCGGUAAAAAAGCUCGUAGUUGGAUUUCUGUUGAGAGCGACCGGUCCAUACCAUGUAUGCGUAUCUGGCUUGCUCUCGGCAUCCUCUCGAUAGACGUUACUGCGCUUGAUUGCGUGGUGCGGAUCUCGGGACUUUUACUUUGAGGAAAUUAGAGUGUUCACGGCAGGCUUUCGCCAGAAUACAUUAGCAUGGAAUAAUACUAUAGGAUCUUGGUUCUAUUUUGUUGGUUUCUAGAAUUGAGAUAAUGAUUAAUAGGGACAAUUGGGGGCAUUCGUAUCAACACGUCAGAGGUGGAAUUCUUGGAUUGUGUUGCGACGAACUACUGCGAAAGCAUUUGCCAAGGACGUUUUCAUUGA
rnacentral:rRNA from 1 species